rnacentral:rRNA from 1 species
UGCCAGCAGCCGCGGUAAUACGAAGGGGGCUAGCGUUGUUCGGAAUCACUGGGCGUAAAGCGCGCGUAGGCGGGUUCUUAAGUCAGGGGUGAAAUCCCGAGGCUCAACCUCGGAACUGCCUUUGAUACUGAGAGCCUAGAGUCCGGGAGAGGUGAGUGGAACUCCUAGUGUAGAGGUGAAAUUCGUAGAUAUUAGGAAGAACACCAGUGGCGAAGGCGGCUCACUGGCCCGGUACUGACGCUGAGGUGCGAAAGUGUGGGGAGCAAACAGGAUUAGAUA